CACGUAGGCACCAAGCGUUGUCCGGAUUUAUUGGGCGUAAAGAGCUCGUAGGCGGUUCGGUUAGUCGGGUGUGAAAACUUUGGGCUCAACCCAAAGCGUGCACUCGAUACUGCCGUGACUAGAGUUCGGUAGGGGAGUGGGGAAUUCCUAGUGUAGCGGUGAAAUGCGCAGAUAUUAGGAGGAACACCGAUGGCGAAGGCAGGUCUCUGGGCCUAACUGACGCUGAGAAGCGAAAGCAUGGGGAGCGAACAGG
rnacentral:rRNA from 1 species